rnacentral:rRNA from 1 species
GAUGAACGCUGGCGGCGUGCCUAAUACAUGCAAGUCGAGCGGACGGACGAGAAUCUUGCUUCUCGGAUGUUAGCGGCGGAGGGGUGAGUAACACGUGGAUAACCUACCUAUAAGACUGGGAUAACUACGGAAAAGCGUAGCUAAUACCGUAUAAUAUUCUGAACCGCAUUGGUCGAUAGUAAGAGACGGUCUUGCUGUCAGUUAUAGCUGGAUCCGGGCUGGAUUAGGUAGUUGGUAAGGUAAUGGCCUACCAAGGCAAGGAUGCAUAACCGAGCGCAGAGGGUGAUAGCCGACCUGGGAGCGGAGCCAGGGACCAGACUCCUACGGGAGGCAGCAGUAGGGAAUCGUCGGCAGUGGGCGAAAGCAUGACGGAGCAAGGCGGAGCGAGUGAUGAAGGUCCUCGGAUCGUAAAACUCUCUUACGAGGGAAGAACAUAUGUGUAAGUAAACGUGCACAUAUUGACGGUACCUAAUCAGAAAGCAACGGCUAACUACGUG